rnacentral:rRNA from 1 species
AUUGAACGCUGGCGGCAUGCUUUACACAUGCAAGUCGAACGGCAGCGCGGGCUUCGGCCUGGCGGCGAGUGGCGAACGGGUGAGUAAUACAUCGGAACGUGCCCAGCAGUGGGGGAUAGCUCGGCGAAAGCCGGAUUAAUACCGCAUACGACCUGAGGGUGAAAGCGGGGGAUCUUCGGACCUCGCGCUAUUGGAGCGGCCGAUGGCAGAUUAGCUAGUUGGUGGGGUAAAGGCCUACCAAGGCGACGAUCUGUAGCUGGUCUGAGAGGACGACCAGCCACACUGGGACUGAGACACGGCCCAGACUCCUACGGGAGGCAGCAGUGGGGAAUUUUGGACAAAGGGCGAAAGCCUGAUCCAGCAAUGCCGCGUGUGUGAUGAAGGCCUUCGGGUUGUAAAGCACUUUUGGCGGGAACGAAAAGGACUGUGCCAAUACCACGGUUGGAUGACGGUACCCGCAGAAUAAGCACCGGCUAACUACGUG